AAAGGAAUAGACGGGGACCCGCACAAGCAGCGGAGCAUGUGGUUUAAUUCGAAGCAACGCGAAGAACCUUACCAGGGCUUGACAUGCCCCUGACCGACAUAGAAAUAUGUCUUCACCGACCGGUGCAGGGGACACAGGUGGUGCAUGGUUGUCGUCAGCUCGUGUCGUGAGAUGUUGGGUUAAGUCCCGCAACGAGCGCAACCCUUGCCUUUAGUUGCUACCAUUAAGUUGAGAACUCUAGAGGGACUGCCGAUGAUAAAUCGGAGGAAGGUGGGGAUGACGUCAAAUCAUCAUGCCCUUUAUGUCCUGGGCUACACACGUGCUACAAUGGUCGGUACAACGAGCAGCUACCUAGCGAUAGGAUGCAAAUCUCUAAAAGCCGAUCCCAGUUCGGAUUGCAGGCUGCAACUCGCCUGCAUGAAGUCGGAGUUGCUAGUAAUCGCGAAUCAGAAUGUCGCGGUGAAUGCGUUCCCGGGUCUUGUACACACCGCCCGU
rnacentral:rRNA from 1 species